UUUACUGCCCAGUUCCAGAUACGGCCCGCAUGUAGUCUGUGUACACUCAGGAGUGGGCGUGAGCAUCCAUCAGUCGGCGAAAUCAUAAUAGUUCUGGCCCGGACUCGAGCGCGCGAAUUGUUUCUUUUUUUUUCUUUCGAACCGGUUCAUACCGGACCAGAAGUCAGUCGGCUGAAUCGUAGUUGUUCUGGCCCGGGGCCGUCGGAACGAGCGCGCGAACUGUUUCUUUCUUUGGAUCAGUUGGGAACUGCAAGCUUUGUGGAAAGAGUUUAUAACGGAGUCUUUUCUUCACCCCUGGCUGAGAGCUCGGGAUUAAUAGGAAAUUAACACAUCGGCCAUCCCCCACUCUUCCACUACUGAUGAUUUGUUGGGUGUCAUGUGAGGGUUAUGGCAUUCCCACUUCUCCACUUGUCUCAUCAAUGUUUCCCGUAAAGCCACCAAAACAAUGUGUAUGAAUAUUUUACAGUUUUUUCUGGGUUUCACAUGACUAGUUGGAGUUGGAUAUUGUAUUUUGGCUAUAAAAUCUUUGUUAUUUAUACCAUGGUCAUGGAAAAUGGUUAAAAUCUAAAUGGCUGGCAGUAAUCAUCUAUCAAGACAAACUUAUCGCUUGUCGCUAAUUAAAACGUUAUCUUGUGUGUUUAGGCCGUAGAAUCUCGUGUGUCUCCUGGCUUUAGCUUUAUAUGUAGAGUAUGGUAUCAUGAGUGUGGUAUAUAUCUUCUCAUCUCUCUCAGGGAGAAAGCAAAUCUUACUUUCUUACUAUCAUCAUUACUAAUGGUACACUACACUAUGCAAGACUGAUAGCAAUGUCAAUGUAUUGAGCUUUUUAACUAGAGUUUAAUACUUCUGCAUUCAUUUAAAUAUAACACCUGUGUCAUAGGUGUGUGGUUACUGUACGGUUACUAGAAACUAAUCACCUGGACCUGCAAGUCAACUGGAGUGAAGUUUCUUGUUCCUACAGUUGUUAAAGACAGAAAUGAGCUGUAAAAUGUGUUUAUUAGAUUGAAUGUUAGUUUGGCAAUUAUCUACUUUGUUUUAAGUUUCUGUCCUCUCUUUUUAUCUCAAACAUUUCAAAUAAAAUUUAAAAUGUG